GACGAACGCUGGCGCGUGCUUAACACAUGCAAGUCGAGCGGUAAGGCCCUUUCGGGGGUACACGAGCGGCGAACGGGUGAGUAACACGUGGGUGACCUGCCCUUAGCUCUGGGAUAAGCCUGGGAAACUGGGUCUAAUACCGGAUAUGACUCCAUAACGCAUGUUGUGGGGUGGAAAGCCUUGUGCGGCUAGGGAUGGGCCCGCGGCCUAUCAGCUUGUUGGUGGGGUGAUGGCCACCAAGGCGACGACGGGUAGCCGGCCUGAGAGGGCGACCGGCCACACUGGGACUGAGACACGGCCCAGACUCCUACGGGAGGCAGCAGUGGGGAAUCUUGCGCAAUGGGCGAAAGCCUGACGCAGCGACGCCGCGU
rnacentral:rRNA from 1 species